GUAGUAUUCCCUCCGUCCCAAAAUUCGUGUCUUACAUUUGUUUAGAUACGGAUGUAUCUAACACUAAAAUGUAUCCGUAUUUAGACAAAUUUAAGACAAGAAUUUUGGGACGGAGGGAGUACAAA
rfam:Triticum aestivum genome assembly, contig: Triticum_aestivum_CS42_TGACv1_scaffold_404368_5BL